GAGCAGGAGCUCGGCCCUACGUCUGGAACCCCCCACACACACACACAAAAGAUGCAUUAAGAAUGCAAAAGGCGCCACAAUGUUAAAUGCAAUGUUACACAAGCCUGGCCUUAUUGCAAUCGCAUUCAAUGUAAAACAAAAGGAUUAUGAACAGCUGGAACAGGUUGGGAGAAGCUAGAGCCUGGAAUUAUUUAAGGAACAAAAUGUCAUAAUAGCAAGGACCACACCGCCGGCCAUCAUAACAUAGCUUAGAAAAUGCUGGAGAAAUGGGCAACCUAUUUGUCUACAAUCCCACCUCUGAUGAGGC